AUGGCUGCCAAAACCACAUCAUGCUUUACUUUCCUAAAGGAAGCGCUGACCCUCCCCACGUUAAACCCCAAGCUCUUCACGCCCUUGUUCCUCCUCUUUGCCGCCGCCGCCUUCCUUGACCACAUAGUCAAUUUCGUGUUCGUCCAGCCUCUCGCCGACGUCGUGGCCAGCCAUGCCACCGAGGUCAACAACACCGACUUCUCGAGCGCCGAACACGCCAAGCUCAUGGAGAUGGAGGGGCCAAAGCAAGACGGCAUGAGGCUCAUCCUCAUCGCCUUCUCCGAGGUGAUCGUCGCCCUGGCGGUCGGCUUCGUCAAGAAGAUCCUCUUCCUCUUCGCGGCCUCCACGACCUACUCCGGCGACCGCUACUCGCUGGCAGAGCUCCUGCGCGAGCUGGUCAAGGGGUGGAUCAGCCUGAAGGGCCCUUCCAUCACCAUCGCCGUCGUCGACGCGCUUGACUUCGCAUCGGCGGUCCUGGCCGCGCUGAUUAUUCCUGCUCCCGCCCUGAUGGCCGGGCUCUCGGGGGUUCUCUCCGUCCAGGGUCUCGUCUACCUCAUCGCGCUCCUCACCUCCCUCUACUUUACCGCCGUGGGGUUGGUGGGCGUCGCCGCGUCGGUGGUCGACAGGAGGUGCCGCGGCGUGGGGGCGCUCCGGCAGGCGUGGCGGCUCGUGACGCUGGUGAGGAGAAAGGAGGGCCUCCUGCUGGUGCUCGUGGCGCACUUCGUGCCGACCGCCGUGGCUCCGCUGUACCGGGUUGCUCUUGUGUAUGCCAAGACGAGCAUGGCGGUGUGCUUCUGCUUGUUGGCCGUGCAUGCUUUUCUGUCUUGUGCGCUGCAGCUCCUCUCUUUGACGGCAGCCACGGUGUACUACUACCAAGCCAUGCAGAGCAAGGAGGUGAUCGAUGCCUUGCGGUUGUGCUAA
rnacentral:rRNA from 1 species